rnacentral:lncRNA from 1 species
AAGACUUCAGGCAAACACUAUCCUUAUCCUGUUAAUAGAGAAGCCCAGAGCCUUGAUAAGUCCCCCUGUAUCUCCCCGGAACAAGUUCACCCAGAGAGAAAACACAGGAACAGACCAAUCUCUGCUGCCAAUAAGGCUCACUGAUGCUGCGGGCAGCAGGGAAAAGACUGGAAAUGGGAGGAGAAUCUGAGAACUGCAUGCAACAAGUGGAAGUUAUCUAUGCCUCCUCGUCUAGACAAAAGUUUGAAGAACCACUAUAUGGUUUUGCCAGCACCUUUUUCCUUCUGCCUCAUAAAUGGAGUGUCCCAGAAAGGGGUUGCUUUUUCUACCUGCUUCCUAUCUACAUGGAGGAGACCUCCGCCUCCCCACAGCCCUUAAGAGUGUGACAAGAAUGAGAAACAAAUCCUUCAUUGCUAUAAGCCACUAAGAUAUAGGGACUGCUUGUCAUUGCAGCAUAACCUAGUGAAAUCUGUUAGUGCAAUGGGUAUGUUUGUAUGUUAAGGGGAGGAACAGAAGGGGACUCUUUAGAUCAAGCUUGUCCAACCCACCACCCAUGGACAGCUUUGAAUGCAGCCGAACACAAAUCCAUAACGUUUCUUAAAACAUCAUGAGAUUUUUUUUUGCAUUUUUUAAAGCUUAUCGGCUAUCAUUAGUGUUAGUAUAUUUUAUGUGUGGCCCAAGACAAUUCUUCCAGUGUGGCCCAGGGAAGCCAAAAGAUGGGACACCCCUGCUUCAGAUGGUCUGUGGGAGCUUGUC